ACGACCCCGUCCCCCCCCCAGGACCCCCGGCUCCAGCACCCAGCCCCCCAGUGUCGCUUCAAUAGCGCACGUCUCUCCCGGGCAGCAUGGCCGCAGCAGGGCCCGGCGCGAAUCCACAGUCGACCCAAGGCCGGCGCUGGGGGUGUGAGCUCAUCGCAGAGUAACUGAAAAUACAGAGAAGGAAACUGGUAGCCCCAGUACGAUGUGAAGGGAGCCCCGCGGGCACCUUGAUCACCGUUACUCACGUUCUUCCGAGCCCGGCUGCUGCCGCCAGUGGAGGUGCCACGUGAGCCACGCCAGGUGCUCAAAGCCACACGAGGGGGACGAAACUCGCUUCAAAUGUGAGCUUACAAGACGGCUUGAAGAAAUGGCAGAGGACACACUGGCAAACGGAAACAGAGGGAGCGCCAGACAAAGUCAACUGCAGAGCAAGGAAAAUGCAGAGACCAAGAGGGACAUGACAAGAAGACCCAACAAGCCUCAACGUGUAGGCACCUAACACAGGGUCUGCAAAGUACAGAAAGAAAACACUGGCAGGAUUUCAAGGGGAAUUUGACAAACUCCAGUUACACUCGGAGGCUCCAGUGCUCCUGUCUUGGGAAUUGACCAAACUGGUAGAAAGUGAGCAAGGAUAUGCAGAGGAGAACAGCAUCGACAUGAACGUGUACACAUACAGGUGUCCACACACACGGAACAUGUACACAUACAGGUGUCCACACACACACACACACACACACACACACAAGCAUAUAUACGCGUGAUAUAUUUUUAUAUCUUCAUCCAACACAGUAGAACACAACCCUUCAAGUGCACACGACACAUUUACCAAGAUACACUCUAAAGUCAUUGAAAGUAAUUGAAUGACAUAAUGGUAUUAAGCCAGGCAUUGUUAACAGAAAGAUAACAUGAAAUUCUCCCACACUUAGAAGUUAACCACUCCACUUCUAAAUAGUUCAUACAUCAAAGAGGAAGAGUCAAGGGAGAUUAGAGCAUAUUUUGAACUAAAAGUGUCCAAUUUAUGGGAUGCAUAUAAAGCAGUACUUAGAGGGAAAUUCAUAGCACUAAAUGGUGACAUUACAGAAGAAGACAGGUCCCAAAUCCAUUAACCAAGUGUCCACCUUAAGACGCUCCAUGGGGAAGGGAACUCAUAGCUCGUGAGUUCAAGCCCCAUGUUGGGCAUGAAGCCUACUAAAACAAACAAAAGCAAAACCAAAAAAACCCAACAAAUAAACC